rnacentral:rRNA from 1 species
UACGGGGGGGGCAAGCGUUGUUCGGAAUUACUGGGCGUAAAGGGCGCGUAGGCGGCCUGUUAAGUCGAACGUGAAAUCCCCGGGCUCAACCCGGGAACUGCGUCCGAAACUGGCAGGCUUGAAUCCGGGAGAGGGAUGCGGAAUUCCAGGUGUAGCGGUGAAAUGCGUAGAUAUCUGGAGGAACAUCGGUGGCGAAGGCGGCAUCCUGGACCGGUAUUGACGCUGAGGCGCGAAAGCCAGGGGAGCAAACGGG